GCCUGGGUGGCUCAAUCGGUUGAGCGUCUGACUUCGGAUCAGGUCAUGAUCCCAGGGUA
rnacentral:tRNA from 1 species